UCAAGAAACUUCCACAAUGGGCGAAAGCCUGAUGGAGCGACGUCGCGUGAUGGACGAAGUGCUUCGGCACGUAAACAUCUUUUAUGUGGGAUGAAAUUAUUGACAGUACCACAUGAAUAAGGGGCUCCUAACUCUGUGCCAGCAGGAGCGGUAAUACAGAGGCCCCAAGCGUUAUCCGGAAUCACUGGGCGUAAAGGGUGUCGAGGCGGUUGUAUUAGUCGUUCGUAAAAUCUACGAGCUUAACUUGUAGGCGGCGAACGAAACGGUACGACUUGAGGUUUGGAGAGGUGCGUGGAACUCACGGUGUAGGGGUGAAAUCCGUUGAUAUCGUGGGGAACACCAAAGGCGAAGGCAGUGCACUGGCCAAAAUCUGACGCUCACACACGAAAGCUAGGGUAGCGAAGAGGAUUAGAUACCCCAGUAGUCCCUGAGCGGGCUGGCAAGGCGCAU
rnacentral:rRNA from 1 species